rnacentral:rRNA from 26 species
AAAUUGAAGAGUUUGAUCAUGGCUCAGAUUGAACGCUGGCGGCAGGCCUAACACAUGCAAGUCGAACGGUAACAGGAAGCAGCUUGCUGCUUUGCUGACGAGUGGCGGACGGGUGAGUAAUGUCUGGGAAACUGCCUGAUGGAGGGGGAUAACUACUGGAAACGGUGGCUAAUACCGCAUAACGUCGCAAGACCAAAGAGGGGGACCUUCGGGCCUCUUGCCAUCAGAUGUGCCCAGAUGGGAUUAGCUUGUUGGUGAGGUAACGGCUCACCAAGGCGACGAUCCCUAGCUGGUCUGAGAGGAUGACCAGCCACACUGGAACUGAGACACGGUCCAGACUCCUACGGGAGGCAGCAGUGGGGAAUAUUGCACAAUGGGCGCAAGCCUGAUGCAGCCAUGCCGCGUGUAUGAAGAAGGCCUUCGGGUUGUAAAGUACUUUCAGCGGGGAGGAAGGUGUUGUGGUUAAUAACCGCAGCAAUUGACGUUACCCGCAGAAGAAGCACCGGCUAACUCCGUGCCAGCAGCCGCGGUAAUACGGAGGGUGCAAGCGUUAAUCGGAAUUACUGGGCGUAAAGCGCACGCAGGCGGUCUGUCAAGUCGGAUGUGAAAUCCCCGGGCUCAACCUGGGAACUGCAUUCGAAACUGGCAGGCUUGAGUCUUGUAGAGGGGGGUAGAAUUCCAGGUGUAGCGGUGAAAUGCGUAGAGAUCUGGAGGAAUACCGGUGGCGAAGGCGGCCCCCUGGACAAAGACUGACGCUCAGGUGCGAAAGCGUGGGGAGCAAACAGGAUUAGAUACCCUGGUAGUCCACGCCGUAAACGAUGUCUACUUGGAGGUUGUGCCCUUGAGGCGUGGCUUCCGGAGCUAACGCGUUAAGUAGACCGCCUGGGGAGUACGGCCGCAAGGUUAAAACUCAAAUGAAUUGACGGGGGCCCGCACAAGCGGUGGAGCAUGUGGUUUAAUUCGAUGCAACGCGAAGAACCUUACCUGGUCUUGACAUCCACAGAACUUUCCAGAGAUGGAUUGGUGCCUUCGGGAACUGUGAGACAGGUGCUGCAUGGCUGUCGUCAGCUCGUGUUGUGAAAUGUUGGGUUAAGUCCCGCAACGAGCGCAACCCUUAUCCUUUGUUGCCAGCGAUUAGGUCGGGAACUCAAAGGAGACUGCCAGUGAUAAACUGGAGGAAGGUGGGGAUGACGUCAAGUCAUCAUGGCCCUUACGACCAGGGCUACACACGUGCUACAAUGGCGCAUACAAAGAGAAGCGACCUCGCGAGAGCAAGCGGACCUCAUAAAGUGCGUCGUAGUCCGGAUUGGAGUCUGCAACUCGACUCCAUGAAGUCGGAAUCGCUAGUAAUCGUGGAUCAGAAUGCCACGGUGAAUACGUUCCCGGGCCUUGUACACACCGCCCGUCACACCAUGGGAGUGGGUUGCAAAAGAAGUAGGUAGCUUAACCUUCGGGAGGGCGCUUACCACUUUGUGAUUCAUGACUGGGGUGAAGUCGUAACAAGGUAACCGUAGGGGAACCUGCGGUUGGAUCACCUCCUUA